GGCUCAUACCGUUUUUAUGAAAGUUUUGCUUGCAGGUCCAAUGCGGCCAUUAAUCACCAACCAAUCCCGAAUCGGUGUGCUCUUAUCUCCCGCCCUAUUGCCGACACCUUAUUGGUGUAGGACGCCGGGCGGUGCUGCCAUUCAUGACCUACAUAAAUAAUUAGAAGGAGACAAUGAGAGACAGCAGAGUGAGGUUAGGGUUAGGGUUAGGGUGAAGAGAAUAGGUUGGGGUUAGGGUGAAGAGAAUAGGUUAGGAUUAGGGUUAGGUUAGGGUGAAGAGAAUAGGUUAGGGUUAGGUUAGGGUGAAGAGAAUAGGUUAGGAUUAGGGUUAGGUUAGGGUGAAGAGAAUAGGUUAGGGUUAGGUUAGGGUGAAGAGAAUAGGUUAGGAUUAGGGUUAGGUUAGGGUGAAGAGAAUAGGUUAGGAUUAGGGUUAGGUUAGGGUGAAGAGAAUAGGUUAGGAUUAGGGUGAAGAGAAUAGGUUAGGAUUAGGGUUAGGUUAGGGUGAAGAGAAUAGGUUAGGAUUAGGGUUAGGUUAGGGUGAAGAGAAUAGGAUUAGGUUAGGGUGAAGAGAAUAGGUUAGGAUUAGGGUUAGGUUAGGGUGAAGAGAAUAGGUUAGGGUUAGGGUGAAGAGAAUAGGUUAGGUUGGGGUUAGGGUGAAGAGAAUAGGUUAGGGUUAGGGUGA
ensembl:lncRNA